rnacentral:rRNA from 1 species
UUUAGACGGGGACAACAUUCCGAAAGGGAUGCUAACACCGGAUGUGACGCUCCUAUCGCAUGACGGGAGCGUGAAAGAUGGCCUCUACAUGUAAGCUAUCGCUAAAGGAUGGGCCUGCGUCUGAUUAGCUAGUUGGUAGUGUAACGGACAACCAAGGCGAUGAUCAGUAGCCGGUCUGAGAGGAUGAACGGCCACAUUGGGACUGAGACACGGCCCAG